CAAGCAAACCAGAUAGUCGCAGGUAUGCAAAUACCUGAGGAAAGUCGGAGCUCCGUCGGGCAGGGUGCUGGAUAACGUCCAGUGGGGGUGACCCCAAGGAAAGUGCCACAGAAAUAAACCGCCUCUUGACGAGGUAAGGGUGGAACGGUGAGGCAAGAGCUCACCAGCAAGCAGGUGACUGUUUGGCUAGGUAAACCCCACCUGGAGCAAGACCAAAUAGGGGAACAUUGAGGUGGCCCAUCUCGUUCCCGGGUAAGGUCGCUGGAGCGUUCAGGUAACUGGGCGCCAAGAUAGAUGACUAUCAAAUACAGAACUCCGCUUAUAGAUUUGCUUGCUGA
rnacentral:RNase_P_RNA from 1 species